AGUGAACGCUGGCGGUAGGCCUAACACAUGCAAGUCGAACGGCAGCACCGUAAGAGCUUGCUCUUACGGGUGGCGAGUGGCGGACGGGUGAGGAAUACAUCGGAAUCUACUUUUUCGUGGGGGAUAACGUAGGGAAACUUACUCUAAUACCGCAUACGACCUACGGGUGAAAGCAGUGGAUCUUCGGACCUUGCGCGAUUGAAUUAGCCGAUGUCGGAUUAGCUAGUGGGCGGGGUAAAGGCCCACCAAGGCGACGAUCCGUAGCUGGUCUGAGAGGAUGAUCAGCCACACUGGAACUGAGACACGGUCAAGACUCCUACGGGAGGCAGCAGUGGGGAAUAUUGGACAAUGGGCGCAAGCAUGACCCAGCCAUACCGCGUGGGUGAAGAAGGCGUUCGGGUUGUAAAGCCCUUUUGUUGGGAAAGAAAAGCAGCAGGUUAAUACCCCGCGGUUCUGACGGUACUCAAAGAAUAAGCACCGGCUAACUUCGUG
rnacentral:rRNA from 1 species